rnacentral:rRNA from 1 species
GACGAACGCUGGCGGCGUGCUUAACACAUGCAAGUCGAACGAUGAACCACUUCGGUGGGAUUAGUGGCGAACGGGUGAGUAACACGUGGGCAAUCUGCCCUUCACUCUGGGACAAGCCCUGGAAACGGGGUCGUAAUACCGGAUAACACUGCCAUGGGCAUCUGUGGUGGUUAAAAGACUCCGGCGGUGAAGGAUGAGCCCGCGGCCUAUCAGCUUGUUGGUGAGGUAAUGGCUCACCAAGGCGACGACGGGUAGCCGGCCUGAGAGGGCGACCGGCCACACUGGGACUGAGACACGGCCCAGACUCCUACGGGAGGCAGCAGUGGGGAAUAUUGCACAAUGGGCGAAAGACCUGAUGCAGCGACGCCGCGUGAGGGAUGACGGCCUGUGUAACU